rnacentral:rRNA from 1 species
UACGGAGGGGGCGAGCGUUAUUCGGAAUUAUUGGGCGUAAAGGGCGCGUAGGCGGCUGUACAAGUCAAAGGUGAAAUCCCUCGGCUCAACUGAGGAACUGCCUUUGAAACUGUACGGCUUGAGGCCGGGAGGGGGUAGCGGAAUUCCCAGUGUAGCGGUGAAAUGCGCAGAUAUCAGGAGGAACACCGGUGGCGAAGGCGGGUCUCUGGGCCGUAACUGACGCUGAGGAGCGAAAGCGUGGGGAGCGAACAGG